UACGUAGGCAGCAAGCGUUGUUCGGAGUUACUGGGCGUAAAGGGUGUGUAGGCGGUUGUUUAAGUUUGGUGUGAAAUCUCCCGGCUCAACCGGGAGGGUGCGCCGAAUACUGAAUGACUAGAGUGCGGGAGAGGAAAGUGGAAUUCCUGGUGUAGCGGUGAAAUGCGUAGAUAUCAGGAGGAACACCGGUGGUGUAGACGGCUUUCUGGACCGUAACUGACGCUGAGACACAAAAGCGUGGGUAGCAAACAGG
rnacentral:rRNA from 1 species